rnacentral:rRNA from 1 species
UACGUAGGGGGCAAGCGUUGUCCGGAAUCAUUGGGCGUAAAGCGCGUGUAGGCGGCUCGGUAAGUCCGCUCUGAAAGUCCGGGGCUCAACCCCGGGAGGCGGGUGGAUACUGUCGAGCUAGAGUCCGGAAGAGGCGAGUGGAAUUCCUGGUGUAGCGGUGAAAUGCGCAGAUAUCAGGAGGAACACCGAUGGCGAAGGCAGGUCUCUGGGCCAUUACUGACACUGAGAAGCGAAAGCAUGGGGAGCGAACAGG